UACGUAGGGGCCAAGCGUUUGUCCGGAUUUAUUGGGCGUAAAGAGCUCGUAGGCGGUUCGGCAAGUCAGCUGUGAAAUCUCCACGCUCAACGUGGAGGGUCAGCUGAUACUGCUGUGACUCGAGUCCGGUAGGGGAGUGGUGGAAUUCCCGGUGUAGCGGUGAAAUGCGCAGAUAGUCGGGAGGAACACCAGUAGCGAAGGCG
rnacentral:rRNA from 1 species